rnacentral:rRNA from 1 species
AGUGAACGCUGGCGGUAGGCCUAACACAUGCAAGUCGAACGGCAGCACAGUAAGAGCUUGCUCUUACGGGUGGCGAGUGGCGGACGGGUGAGGAAUACAUCGGAAUCUACUUUUUCGUGGGGGAUAACGUAGGGAAACUUACGCUAAUACCGCAUACGACCUACGGGUGAAAGCAGGGGAUCUUCGGACCUUGCGCGAUCGAAUGAGCCGAUGUCGGAUUAGCUAGUUGGCGGGGUAAAGGCCCACCAAGGCGACGAUCCGUAGCUGGUCUGAGAGGAUGAUCAGCCACACUGGAACUGAGACACGGUCCAGACUCCUACGGGAGGCAGCAGUGGGGAAUAUUGGACAAUGGGCGCAAGCCUGAUCCAGCCAUACCGCGUGGGUGAAGAAGGCCUUCGGGUUGUAAAGCCCUUUUGUUGGGAAAGAAAAGCAGCAGGUUAAUACCCCGAUGUUCUGACGGUACCCAAAGAAUAAGCACCGGCUAACUUCGUG